rnacentral:misc_RNA from 1 species
UAGCCAAAUUGGUGGGGCAUCUCGCCAC